GCCGUUAUGUUUUAAAGUUGUUUUAGAACUCUGCCGCUGAUGUUAUCUGGGCCAGUGGCUUUGUGCGGAUUGAUGUUGUGUAAGAGUUUUUGUAUGCCAGGUGUGGUAAUUGUGAGUGAUGGAAUGACUGGAUGGGGACUUGGUCCUUUAUCAGGCAUAUUACUUGCUGUUUCGGUGGUAAAGACUGAUUGGAAUUGCUCAUUUAAAAUGUUGGCUUUUUGUUUUGUAUCAGUUAUUAAUUGUCCCUCUGUUUUCAACCCUUUUUUCAGGGGAGCAACUCCACUAUUGUCAGUUCUGAUUGAUUUAAUGUAAGAAAAGAGUUUUUUCGGUUUUGAUUGGUUGCUGUAACUUUGGUCAGGGUCAUUUGUUGGAAGGUCAAGGAUCAUUUUUUCUAUGUAUGUACAAUAGGCACGUCUCUGUUCUUGUUGGACUUGUUGUUUAAGUUUUUUAUAUUUAAGUAUAUGCUUUUUGUCCUUUUUCAUUUUAGAGUACAAUUUAUUCUUUUUAUUUAUCAUUUUUCUGAGUUUGUUGUGCACCCAGGGAAGUCGAUGUUUAUAUGUUAACAUUUUAUGUGGGAUGUUUGUAUCUAUUGAUUUUGUGAUGUUGUUUUUAAAUAAAUCCCACAUUUCGUUUAUAGUACUGUUGUUGUUGUUAUUCAUAACAGUGAGCUCUUCAAGUGUUUUUUGAAGGUCUGCUUCUAUGUUUUCCCAGUUCGCUUUGUCGUAUUUGAGUAUUUUUCUAGGUUGUUGUCUGAUUUUACGAAGCCAAGUGUCAAUUUCUAUGUAGACGAUGUCAUGGUCACUUAGUCCUAGUGGUGGAAGUGUGUUUACUUUGUUAACAGUUGUUGGAUUGUUAACUAGGAUUAAGUCUAAUAUUCUUUCUUUUCUAGUUGGUGUAUUAACUAUUUGUUGAAGGUUAAAA
rnacentral:lncRNA from 1 species